CCCCUGUUUUGGUGUUGGUCUUGGAUGGCUCUUGUUUAUUACUAGUUUCUUUCUGGGUGCAAUCCCCUGGUAUAUAGGAGCUUUUCUACUGCUAUGUGUCCGUAUGGAU